rnacentral:rRNA from 1 species
AACGAACGCUGGUGGCAUGCCUAAUACAUGCAAGUCGAACGAGAAAGCUCUUCGGAGUGAGUACAGUGGCGCACGGGUGAGUAACGCGUAGGUGACGUACCAUAUAGUGGGGGACAACAUCGGGAAACCGGUGCUAAUACCGCAUAAGCUGAACGACAUUGAAAAAAGUUUAGGAAAGGGGCUUCGGUCUCGCUAUUUGAUUGGCCUGCGUAGCAUUAGCUUGAUGGUGGGGUAAUGGCCUACCAUGGCCGCGAUGCUUAGCUGGUCUGAGAGGAUGAUCAGUCACACUGGAACUGAGACACGGUCCAG